rnacentral:rRNA from 1 species
GACGAACGCUGGCGGCGUGCUUAACACAUGCAAGUCGAGCGGUAAGGCCCUUCGGGUACACGAGCGGCGAACGGGUGAGUAACACGUGGGUGACCUGCCCUUAGCUCUGGGAUAAGCCUGGGAAACUGGGUCUAAUACCGGAUAUGACCUCAUGACGCAUGUUGUGGGGUGGAAAGCCUUGUGCGGCUAGGGAUGGGCCCGCGGCCUAUCAGCUUGUUGGUGGGGUGAUGGCCACCAAGGCGACGACGGGUAGCCGGCCUGAGAGGGCGACCGGCCACACUGGGACUGAGACACGGCCCAGACUCCUACGGGAGGGCAGCAGGUGGGGGAAUCUUGCGCAAUGGGCGAAAGCCUGACGCAGCGACGCCGCGUGAGGGAUGAC